UCAGAUUUGGUGUUUGUGUAAAUAUUUGUGUAUAUGAAUCUUUAUAACGCCUAUGUCACAAAUAAAACGGGCGCCGCCCGAUCUGAAUCGGCGGAUUUGACGAUCUCGCGGACGCUUGGCGAUUUUAAAUUCUUUGCGUGGUCAUAAAUUGUUUCGGCUGAAUUGAAUUUACAGGGAAGCAUUCAAAGGAUCAUGUGGUCGCAGCCCGAUGUCCGGACGCCGGCCUAUAUUGCGAUUUUUUGCGCAGUCAAUGCCUCCCUCUAUCAGACAAAGAUUUAUUUGCUGCUAAAUUUUCUAAGUUGAAACGUUCCCAUUGUAUCAAUAUAUAAGUCUCCCAAAAUCAGAAUUUCCUUUAAUUUAAAACAACAUAUUUCAAUAUCAUAUUUAAGUGGAAAGUUAAAUCGAUCGCUGAACGCUGACCUAAAUGUUGAUCAUAUUUUCUGAAAUGAAAUAUCGAUAAUAACCUUUGAAAUUAAAUACUUAUUAUAUUAAAAAAAUAAUAAGAUAAAAAAUAGGUCAAACAAUUUUGUAAAAUUGGUUGUGUAUAGAGUAACACUUUCAAUUACAUGUUUCAAACAUGGAUUUUCAUAUUUUCUGAAAAUGAAAAAACCGAAAUUAGCUGAUAAGAGCCACGUGGUAUAUCUACUUAUAUACUUGAUAUCAUGUUUUAUCAGUUCAAAUAAAUGAAAGUACGCAAUAAAUUAGAUAUAAAUCGUAAAUAUACAUGGUGUUCAUUAGGUGUUGAUAUCAAUAUAUAUUAAAUAUAUACACAACAAGUGGGCUUUAAAAUACUAGAAGAGUAAGAAAACUAGGCUUGUGAUUUGUCUAACCAAGAGAAAAAAAAUGAAGAUAUCCUCGUACUGCUUACAAUGUCAAGAAGAAACGGUUACAUUGGAUCACAAGAUGAUAGUCCUAGCGAACGGAAGAACCAGUAUUCAGGGGUACUGUGCAAAAUGCGGCAAAAAAAAGUGUACAAUUAUUGGCUAGGUCAUUCGAUAAGUCAAUUAUUGCUAAUGACAAUACUUAUUAAUUAACUUCAUGGAAAUGUAAAAAUAUUAACUUACAAUAAUUUAUAAAGAAACAUUGUGGGAAUAUUUGUUUAAUAGAUAAAAUCUAUACAUGAAUCUUUUUUCUUCUUCUUCUUCUUUCUUUUUAUCUUUAAACUGACGAAAUGUUAUCAUAUAUUUAUGACAACACGAUAGCAACAAGAAGCUGAACAAACAACAAAUCAUAUCUCAGAAAAGGAUGAUUAUUCAAAAUUGGUGUUCCACAGAGAAAAGAUGCCACAUAUUUGAACUUAAAAAUCAGGUCGGAAUAUUUGUUAAUGGUGAAUGCAAUUUCUAUUGAAAUAACUCUCGGGUAAGAGUUUUUAAACGUGUAUCCAAAGCUUUAGAUUUAUUCAUGAUAAUAAAAUAACAUACAAUGUU